GCCCUCUGCCCGGAAACCUCUGGGUUCUGAGCUGUGACGUGGCUUCUGAGCUGGGAUCUCGGGGGUCUUGGUUCAUGGUUU
rnacentral:pre_miRNA from 1 species